rnacentral:rRNA from 1 species
GACGAACGCUGGCGGCGUGCUUAACACAUGCAAGUCGAGCGGAGCGGCGAACGGGUGAGUAACGCGUUAGUAACUGCCCCCCUCCCUGGGAUAACAGUUGGAAACGGCUGCUAAUACCGGAAAGUGGGGGAUGACUCGCGUCCAAUCAGCUUGUUGGUGGGGUGGUGGCUUACCAAGGGGACGACGGGUAGCCGGCCUGAGAGGGCGACCGGCCACAUUGGGCUGAGAUACGGGCCAAACUGCUACGGGAGGCAGCGGUGGGGAAUAUUGCACAAUGGGGUAAACCCUGAUGCAGCAACGCCGCGUGCGGGAGGACGGCUUUCGGGUUGUAAACCGCUUUCAGCCAUGACGCGGUAGUGGCAGAAGAAGCACCGGCUAACUACGUGCCAGCAGCCGCGGUAAUUC